GGAGGAAAAGAUGAUUAUAGAAGUCAUGAAGAGAGGAUGCUGUUUCAUACAGGACUGGGAACGGGCUCAGGCAGCCGUGCCAAAGCAUCUUGGCAGAGUCAGGCUGCCUUUAGCAUCGCCUCUUCCCUCUGUGCACACUCCAGCCCUCCUCCUCCUCCUCCUCCCCAGGUUUCACUGAUGGGCUGUGAAUGGAUGUGCCAAGAGACACUCCCUUCCCUGAAUUCUUGGUUACCCAACAGGGGCAGACAUGGGAAAGGUGCCCAGAGGGAGAGUUGGGCCAUGCACGUGUCCUGCAGGUUGGGAAGCUCCUCUGGGAAAGCAGGGGCUGCAUGGUCAGAGACCAUCCUGGUACAGCACAGCUUCUUCUACGUCCCUUGCUGAGCAAUUUUGGUGGCUCUGCUGUUGUGUGUCCGAAGACCAACGCCAGCAUCCCUGCCCCAGACCCAUACGGAGGCACAGGAGGGGACUCAUCCAGCUGGGGACAAAUAGAGAAGACCUUUUUCCUUCACCUGCUUCUCUGGAGGCCCUCUGAAAGCAGCAGGGCACAACAGCAGCUCUGGGACUGGAUCUUCUCCGUCAGCUCACCCCAAGCAGUCACCAAACCCACACAGGACCAUUCAUAUCCCUUGUGAUGGAAAACCUGCUCCUCUAACAGCAGCAGACAGGCGGGAGAAAGCCCUUGGGCUUUAAUUGCUGCAGAAAGGCAGCCAGAAGUACUGCAGAGAUAAAUAGACCGAAGCGAUGCUUGGUUAUCUGAAAGCUUCAGCUUUGCUCUUUUCCAGAAGUAUAAGCAUCAUCCUUAGCUAUAAAGUAGCUCUCAGCUCCUUAAAUGCUGUGGAUCCUUCUGUUCUAUGACAGAUUUUGGUGAACCAGGUUCAGUGCAUCUUUAUCAACUUCUGGUGAUGCUUUUCUCCUUCAGCCUGCGAAGGCUUGAAGCAGCAGUGAACAUCCAUGGGCUGAAAACUACAACCUGGAGAUGGGCUAUUGACUGGGAAGGGGCUGCUGUCCACUAUGGACAUCUCAUUGAAAACCCUCAUGGAGAUGGAGGGGGAGGUGGAAGUGGAGAUGGAGGGGGAGAUGGAGAUGGAGGUGGAGAUGGAGGGGGAGAUGGAGGUGGAGGUGGAGAUGGAGAUGGAGAUGGAGAUGGAGGUGGAGAUGGAGAUGGAGAUGGAGGGGGAGAUGGAGAUGGAGGGGGAGAUGGAGGGGGAGGGGGAGGUGGAGAUGGAGGGGGAGGUGGAGGUGGAGAUGGAAUGGGAGGUGGAGAUGGAGAUGGAGGUGGAGAUGGAAGUGAAGAUGGAGAUGGAGGUGGAGACUGAGUUUUUCUUCCACACUUAACUCACUGGUGAACUGGAUUGAACUAGAUCAAAAGAGAGGGAUGCCAUGGUUUUCUAGGAGGAGAUCUGCCUCACACCUCCAUGAUGUUACCUCCACUGGGUCAAGCAGCUCCCAGUAUGGACCUUUGUGAGCCCAGUUUGUGGUGCUGUCUCCACCCCUGGGGAGAAUGUUACCCCAGCCACGAGUGGUCCUAGCCUG
ensembl:lncRNA